rnacentral:rRNA from 1 species
GAUGAACGCUGGCGGCGUGCCUAAUACAUGCAAGUCGAGCGAACGGACGAGAAGCUUGCUUCUCUGAUGUUAGCGGCGGACGGGUGAGUAACACGUGGAUAACCUACCUAUAAGACUGGGAUAACUUCGGGAAACCGGAGCUAAUACCGGAUGAUAUUUUGAACCGCAUGGUUCAAAAGUGAAAGACGGUCUUGCUGUCACUUAUAGAUGGAUCCGCGCUGCAUUAGCUAGUUGGUAAGGUAACGGCUUACCAAGGCAACGAGGCAUAGCCCACCUGGGAGGGGGGUCGCCCCACGGGGAGAGGCGCCCGGGCCCAGCCCCCUCGGGGGGGAGGCAGAGGGGAUUCUUCGGAAAUGGGCGAAAGCUUGACGGGGCAACCCGGCGGGAGGAAUGAAGUUCUCGGGAUCGAAAACCUUUUUUAUAGGGAAAAAACAUAUUGGAAAUAAACGGUCCCCAUCUGGACGGUCCCUAACAAAAAGGCCCCGGCUACCCCCGUG